ACGGCUCAGUAACACGUGGUCAAUCUACCCUAUGGUGGAGGAUAUCCCCGGGAAACUGGGACUAAUACUCCAUAGAUUAGGUGAAUUGGAAUUAUCACUUAAUUGAAAGAUCCGUCGCCAUAGGAUGAGACUGCGUCCGAUUAGGUUGUUGUUGGGGUAUGUGCCCACCAAGCCUAUAAUCGGUACGGGUUGUGGGAGCAAGAGCCCGGAGAUGGACUCUGAGACACGAGUCCAGGCCCUACGGGGCGCAGCAGGCGCGAAACCUUUACAAUGCGGGCAACCGUGAUAAGGAAACCCCGAGUGGAUGAACAGUCAUCCUGUCCACCAGUUUAGAACACUGGUGAAGAAAGGGCCGGGCAAGACCGGUGCCAGCCGCCGCGGUAAUACCGGCGGCUCGAGUGGUGGCCACUAUUACUGGGCUUAAAGGGUCCGUAGCUUGCAUGAUCAGCUUCUUGAGAAAUCCACUGGCUUAACCAAUGGUCGUUCAGGAGGUACUGUCAUGCUAGGGACCGGGAGAGGUAAGGGGUACUGCCGGGGUAGGAGUGAAGUCCUGUAAUCCUGGUGGGACCACCGGUGGCGAAGGCGCCUUACCAGAACGGCUCCGACAGUGAGGGACGAAAGCUGGGGGAGCGAACCGGAUUAGAUACCCGGGUAGUCCCAGCCGUAAACGAUGCGCGUUAGGUGUGUCAGUGACCACGUGUCACUGAGGUGCCGAAGGGAAACCGUGAAACGCGCCGCCUGGGAAGUACGGUCGCAAGGCUGAAACUUAAAGGAAUUGGCGGGGGAG
rnacentral:rRNA from 1 species